CGUAGGGGGCAAGCGUUGUCCGGACUUAUUGGGCGUAAAGAGCGUGUAGGCGGCCAGGUAGGUCUGCUGUGAAAACUCGAGGCUCAACCUCGAGACGCCGGCGGAAACCAUCUGGCUAGAGUCCGGAAGAGGAGAGUGGAAUUCCUGGUGUAGCGGUGAAAUGCGCAGAUAUCAGGAAGAACACCCGUGGCGAAGGCGGCUCUCUGGGACGGUACUGACGCUGAGACGCGAAAGCGUGGGGAGCGAACAGGAUUAGAUACCCUGGUAGUCCACGCCGUAAACGAUGAGUGCUAGGUGUGGGGGGUGUCGACUCCCUCCGUGCCGAAGCUAACGCAUUAAGCACUCCGCCUGGGGAGUACGGCCGCAAGGCUA
rnacentral:rRNA from 1 species